rnacentral:tRNA from 1 species
GGCUCCAUAGUGGUGAUUAGCACAUCUGCUUUACAUGCAGAAGGUCCUGGGUUCGUACCCCAGGUGGAGCCA